rnacentral:lncRNA from 1 species
UGUCGAAGUGAGCAAUAUCGUCGAAAGUGAAGGAAUAUUUUGCUGGAUGCAGUGGAUGCAAACGUGUUUGCAGCAGCCAAGGUUCGUAAUCAUUCUGUAUCAGCGUUCGUAUGAUGUCAUUACUUUCCGUAGGAAGGCAGAAGCUCUCCGUGGAGUAACCAUUGAGCAACAAAACCACUCUGGAGUUGUGGCUCUCCGCAGCAUCUUUUGAGCACCAUUGCUUGCAGGUAAUGUGGACACCGUCCUCUACAGCCAUCCAUCAUGCUUGUGUCAGAAUGACUGCCUGUUAAGAAAUUUGUUUCGUACCUGUCACGAGUUCGUGAAGCACGUAGUUUGGAUAGUUGUUUGUCAAGUUUUGUUUCCUGGUCACCUUCUCUGUUGGUGUCCUUGGUGUUCUCAUCAAGUACGUCCUAGCAAGUGUUUCCAUCAGCCGUCCUACAAACUCCCGCUUCCUUGGUCCUCGCAAGGAUAUUAGCGACUUAAGUAACUCGGGAAGAGUUACUCGCAACUUUCCUUUCAGGACAACCGGUUUUGAUGACUCCUGCUGAGUUCGAACAACGACAUGUAGCGUGGUCGACUCAUAGAAGCACUUUAAGCCGCUCAUGAAUGGUCUCAUCUCUUUCCGUCCGUCCAAAGUAUACCUUCACAAACCAUAGCAUGUUUUGCAUGAGACCAGACCAGAUUUAGAGGAGGAAGGAAAACUUACCUGGUGCCCGUGUUUGUUGACAGAAGCAGGUGAUAAUGCAUAUACUGAGUGAAAGGAGUUUUUCCAUCGACAUGGCACAUAUUUACGUAUC